rnacentral:rRNA from 1 species
AGAUUGAACGCUGGCGGCAUGCCUUACACAUGCAAGUCGAACGGCAGCACGGGAGCAAUCCUGGUGGCGAGUGGCGAACGGGUGAGUAAUAUAUCGGAACGUGCCCAGUCGUGGGGGAUAACGCAGCGAAAGCUGUGCUAAUACCGCAUACGAUCUAUGGAUGAAAGCGGGGGAUCGCAAGACCUCGCGCGAUUGGAGCGGCCGAUAUCAGAUUAGCUAGUUGGUGGGGUAAAAGCCUACCAAGGCGACGAUCUGUAGCUGGUCUGAGAGGACGACCAGCCACACUGGAACUGAGACACGGUCCAGACUCGUACGGAGCAG